CCCGCUGAACUUAAGCAUAUCAAUAAGCGGAGGAAAAGAAACUAACAAGGAUUCCCCUAGUAACUGCGAGUGAAGAGGGAAAAGCUCAAAUUUUGAAUCUGGCGGUCUUUCGGUCGUCCGAGUUGUAAUCUAGAGAAGCGUCUUCCGCGCUGGACCGUGUAUAAGUUUCCUGGAAUGGAACGUCGUAGAGGGUGAGAAUCCCGUCUUUGACACGGACUACCAGGGCUAUGUGAUGCGCUCUCGACGAGUCGAGUUGUUUGGGAAUGCAGCUCAAAUAGGGUGGUAAAUUCCAUCUAAAGCUAAAUACAGGCGAGAGACCGAUAGCGAACAAGUACCGUGAGGGAAAGAUGAAAAGAACUUUGGAAAGAGAGUUAAACAGUACGUGAAAUUGCUGAAAGGGAAACGCUUGAUGUCAGUCGCGUCGGCCGGGGAUCAGCCUUGCUUAACCGCUCGGCGUACUUCCUGGCAGACGGGUCAGCAUCAGUUUCGACCGUCGGAGAAUGGCUCGGGGAAUGUGGCACUCUUUCGGGAGUGUGUUAUAGACUCGAGUCGAAUGCGACGGUCGGGACUGAGGAACUCAGCACGACCUAGGGUUCGGGACUUCGGUCCACGUUUGCGUGCUUAGGAUGCUGGCAUAAUGGCCUUAAGCGACCCGUCUUGAAACACGG
rnacentral:rRNA from 1 species